CUUUGUUCCUCAAAGAAUUGUAUCAACUUUAAAUAACAGAGCCAUAAAAUAUCUGUUAAGUGGAAAAGGUUCCGUAAUAAUUUACUUAGGGAAAAAAAUACGGGACAGGUGAACUGGGCUAAUAUUGUCGAGUUUAAAAAGAUCACAUAAUUAUGUCUGCUUCCCCGUUAACAACAUUAUCAUCAUCAUCAUCACCACCACCUCCAUCACCAUCAACAUCAGCUUCUUCUUCGACGUCGACUUUCGCAUUAUCAUCUAUAAACUUAGAGAAAUUUAUUGAAAUUCUACGAUGUCCAAAAAAAUAUAAAUUUUUUUUGCAAAACGCUAUUUCCGAUUAUGAUUAUAAAACCUUUAAAAAUUCUAUUAGAAACAAGGAAAAAAUUUUAGAAAAUAAUCAACAACAAGCAAUAAGUUUAGGAGAGAAAAAAAAAUAUGAAUACUACAUUUCAAGAGUAAAAACUUUAUUCACGCAUUUUCAAGAAAAAAUAUCCUCUUCAACAAAAUAUGGAAAAGGUUUACAACAAGAUAUACGUCAGAAAAUUUCCUUUGUUAAAAUUUCAUCAGCUUUUAAUAAUCGGCUACGAACUUAUUUAAUCAGCAAUAAUUAUUACAUAGAACCGAAAUAUUUUUUUGAACAUUGCAAGAAAAUUCUAAUUAUCAAAUUUGAAAAAAUUUUACGAAAAUUAGGAGCUUUUAAGAUUAACAUUAUAUUAAAUUGUAUUUAUCAAUUUAAAGUAACUAAAGAACAUGCCUUUCGAAGUUUUAACACCCAGAAUCAAUCAGUCUUUCACUCUGAAGAAAUUCCUUCAAUUUUAGAAAAUUUAUUUGAUGCUCUAUUAAAUCAGAUGGAUGAUUUCACUGAAAAUAAGUCUGGUGAAGCUUGAGAAAGUAUUGAAAAUUUCCAUAAACAAAUUAUCGAUAUUUAAUAUAUCGCAAAAUGAAGAAGAAGAUACCACCUCUCAUUCUAGUGACUCUGGGGGAACAUACAUUCCUCUUCCUAUUGAGCUGAAAGGAAAAGGUUCUUGUUUUAUUAAUAUUUUUAAUAAGGAUAAUUAUUGUUUUGUUUAUUCUAUCUUGGCUGCACUUUUUCCUGUUAAUCACUCUAAAUAUGAGAGAGUUGAAUCUUAUCCUAGUAAUGUUCAUGAAAUUUUAAACUUAAUAAAUAUUGAAAUGCCUGUUAAAAUAAAAGAUAUUUCCAAAUUUGAAAAACAGAAUCCUACUAUUUCUAUUAAUGUAUUUAAAUUCAACGGAAAAACUCGACAAAUUGACGGUUCUAUUUAUCAUACAAAAAAUGUAAAAGAAAAACAUAUAAAUUUAUUAUAUUUAACUAAAAAUAAUAUUAACACUAAUGGUCAUUAUUGCUUAAUUACUAAUCUUUCAAAAGCAUGUGGAAGCAGCAUAAGUAAAAAUGAGCAUCAAAUAUUUUGUUGUGAUCGUUGUUUACAACAUAUUCCUUCGAAAUCAAAAGAUAAAAUUGAUAGACAUAAACGGGAUUGUUCAACAUUUCCUGCAGUUAAAACACGCUUACCUGAACCGAAUUCUCCAGAAAGUCUUUUACAUUUUUCACAGUUUAAAUCAUUGCUACGUUUACCAUUUGUUAUAUAUGCAGACUUAUGUUCUUUUGAUAGUAAAUUAGAUAGUUUUAAGACUUAUAGAGGAGUGGUUUAUUUCAGAAUUAAAAGAAAGUUGCAAAUUUGUAAAUAAAAUAUUGUUAAAACAAAAGAAAAUACUAAAUAAACCAUUAUCAGAAUUAGAAAAAGAGUUACAUGAAACAACUAAUAAUUGUAAUUUAUGUGGUUGCAACUUUACAGAUAAUAAUAAAAAAGUUAUACAUCAUAACAUUCAUAACCAUUUAACUGGUGAAUUUAUUUCUACAAUAUGCAAUAAUUGUAAUUUACAAAUUCAAUUUUCAAAUAAGUUGCCAGUUUUUUUACAUAAUUUGUCUGGAUAUGACGCUCACCUUUUUUUUUACAGAAUUUAUUAAUAAUUUUUCAAAUACUGAAAUAAACCAUUCAAUCAUGAAAAUUAUAUUUCAUUUUCAGGAAUACAUUGUAACAUGAAAAUUACGUUUUUAGAUUCUUUUCGCUUUCUACCUACAUCAUUUGAUAAACUUGUAUCUUUUUUAAAGCCAAAUCAGUUUUCUCUUAUGAAAGCUUUUUUCCCCAAUGUUACAGAUGAUGUUUUUCAAUUAUUAUUGAAAAAAGGAGUAUUUCCGUAUGAUUAUAUCACUUCCUCAUCUGUCUUCGAAGAUACCCAAUUACCAACAAAACCACAAUUUUUCAAUCGAAUGACAAAUAAACAUAUUUCAGAUAAAGAUUAUUUUCAUGCACAGAAUGUUUGGGAAAAAUUUGGAAUUAAAACUUUAGGAGAAUACUCCGAUUUAUAUUUAAAAUGUGAUGUAAUUCAAUUAGCUGAUGUUUUCGAAAAUUUUCGCGACUUAACAAUGAAAUAUUACCAACUUGAUGCUGCAUCCUUCUAUACUAGUCCAGGCCUUUCAUGGGCAACUGCUUUAAAAAUCACAAAAGUUAAACUUGAAUUGUUUACCGAUAGUGAAAUGUUUUUGUUUAUCGAAAAAUCAAUACGCGGAGGAAUUACUCAAGCGGUACAUAGAUAUGCUGAAUGUAAUAAUACACAUUAUUCAAAAACAUAUGAUCCUGCAACACCUAUAGAUUAUCUUUUUUAUAUUGAUGCUAACAAUUUAUAUGGCUGAGCUUUAAGUCAAAAGUUACCUAUUGGAAAUUUUCAUUGGUUAUCAAUAAAUGAUAUUAAUGAAAUUUUCGCUGAGCCUCAAAAAUUAAAUACUAAUGAUAACAAAGAAUUUAUUUUAGAAGUUGACUUAUAUUAUGAUAAAAGUAUACACGAUGAACAUGAUGAUUUUCCUUUUUGUCCUGAACCUCUCUCUUAUUCUAUGGCUCUGAGAAAAGAAGCAUAAACAUGGGUCUAGUGUUUCAAAAUCAAUAUAAAAAAUUAUCCAAUCCAUCAAAUUAUCAGUCAGUAUCUUGUCGCCAGUCGACAUUAUCACAU